CAGCUAAUGGACCUGACCCAACUAGUAGAGGCACCACGACGCCUGGCUCCCAUUCAGCUCCUCGAUCUAAAAAGGUUGAACUUUUGUCAAGCCACCCAGUUGGCAGCAAAAGGCCUCCUGCUUCAUCAGUUAUCUGGAAUUGGUGGGUCUACCAUUGGCGCGGCCACAAGACGGAUUCUACAGCUGUUGCUGACCCAUCAACUGGCUGUACAGUACAGCUGGGCAGGGCAAAAGGGCAAAAGAAAGUUUAUGGCCCUUAAUACGGCGGAGCUCAUAUUUAGUAAGUGUCACAAUAACUUCCACAUCUAGUAAAAUGUGCUCUGCUGCCAUGGUAUAGUGCAGCAUAAGCAUUUCAUUUUACAUCAAUGUUUUGCGGUGCAACAAGCACAGAAGCUUGCAUAAUAUAGUAUUGUGACAAUUCUGGCAUGCCAUUUGUUCUGGUAUUGCUUUUGCGUGAACUCAUCAUUGA
rnacentral:lncRNA from 1 species